CCUACGGGAGGCUGCAGUGGGGACUAUUGCACAAUGGGGGAAACCCUGAUGCAGCGACGCCGCGUGAGUGAAGAAGUAUUUCGGUAUGUAAAGCUCUAUCAGCAGGGAAGAAAAUGACGGUACCUGAAUAAGAAGCCCCGGCUAGCUCCGUGCCAGCCGCCGCGGUAAUACGUAGGGGGCAAGCGUUAUCCGGAUUUACUGGGUGUAAAGGGAGCGUAGCAGGCAGCGCAAGUCUGCUGUCAAAUGCCGGGGCUUAACCCCGGAACUGCUUUGGAAACUGUGCAGCUAGAGUGCAGGAGAGGUAAGUGGAAGUCCUAGUGUAGCGGUGAAAUGCGUAGAUAUUAGGAGGAACACCAGUGGCGAAGGCGGCUUACUGGACUGUAACUGACGUUGCGGCUCGAAAGCGUGGGGAGCAAACAGGAUUAGAUACCCCAGUAGUC
rnacentral:rRNA from 1 species